rnacentral:lncRNA from 1 species
AAUCCACUCUUCUCACCCCCAUUUCCAGCUAAACAGGUCCUCACAGUCGUAGCUAUGGCCUCCCAAAAGAAGGUACUUAAUAUUUACUCCUCGUUUCAGCAGCCCUUUUCACUUGUUCCUCUUCAAUUUAAUUUAUUUCGAUUUCUCUGUAAAUGAAAAUGAUGAUGCAGGUGAAUAAGUACGAUGAUGGUUGGCAGAAAAAAUGGUACGGUGCGGGAAUAUUCUACGAAAGCAGUGAAGAAAUGGAAUUCGAUGUGUUCAAGAAGCUGGAGAAGCGCAAAGUGCUUAGCAACGUAGAAAAAGCAGGACUACUCUCAAAGGCGGAGGAUCUGGGAUUCACACUCUCAUCAAUAGAGAAGUUGGGUGUGUUCUCGAAAGCUGAGGAAUUGGG